UCCCCAGUGGCUCAGAUGGUAAAGAAUCUGCCUUCAAUGCAGGAGACCUGGGUUUGAUCCCUGGUUGGGGAA
rnacentral:tRNA from 1 species